UACGGAGGGUGCAAGCGUUAUCCGGAUUCACUGGGUUUAAAGGGUGCGUAGGCGGGUAGGUAAGUCAGUGGUGAAAUCUCCGGGCUUAACCCGGAAACUGCCGUUGAUACUAUUUGUCUUGAAUACCGUGGAGGUGAGCGGAAUAUGUCAUGUAGCGGUGAAAUGCUUAGAUAUGACAUAGAACACCAAUUGCGAAGGCAGCUCACUACACGGUCAUUGACGCUGAGGCACGAAAGCGUGGGGAUCAAACAGG
rnacentral:rRNA from 1 species